AUUUAUAAGAGGUCCAGCCUGCCCAGUGAAUUAAUUUAACGGCCGCGGUAUCCUAACCGUGCGAAGGUAGCGUAAUCACUUGUUCUUUAAAUAAGGACUAGUAUGAAUGGCAUCACGAGGGUUAUACUGUCUCCCCUUUUUAAUCAGUGAAACUAAUCUCCCCGUGAAGAAGCGAGGAUAAAAAUAUAAGACGAGAAGACCCUAUGGAGCUUUAGACUAUGCAACAAUUGCUAUUAAUUUUAUUACCCUGCGGGCCCUAAAUUCUAUUUUUCAUAUUGAUUUCUUAGUCUUAGGUUGGGGUGACCGCGGAGUAAAAUUUAACCUCCAUGAUGAAAGAAACUAAUUUUCUUAACCCAGAGUUACAACUCUAAGUACCAAAAAUUUGACAUAAAUUGACCCAAUUAAUUGAUCAACGAACCAAGUUACCCUAGGGAUAACAGCGCAAUCUACUUCAAGAGCCCCUAUCGACAAGUAGGUUUACGACCUCGAUGUUGGAUCAGGGUAUCCUAGUGGUGCAGCCGCUACUAAAGGUUCGUUUGUUCAACGAUUAAAACCCU
rnacentral:rRNA from 1 species